GACCACUCCCAUUCAAGGAAUCUCCUUCUGUCCUGCGGGAUCACACAAGACAGAACCAUUCAAAACGUCCUUUUCCUCAAUGUCUAAGCACGGUGGAGCCCUUUUUGCCCGGCUCUGUGGAGGGAGGAUGACUGCAUGACCACAGAUGCAAUGUGGACCAGCGCCCAUCAUUCAAGGGCAUGAUUGAUGCCAACCAGCAACCAGGCACUGGGGAGGGAGCUGAGGGAGCACGAAUGGGAUGAGCCACCUUCUGUCCCUGUAGUGGAGGGCAUGGGGCUUGGCUGGGCUUAGAGCUAACAUACACAGGAUACUGAAAAAGAACAACACAAGGUGUGUGGUGCAAAGGAAAGGGAAAUCAGCUUAAAGCUGAUGUUAGUGUGCUUGACCUGAGUACAGCCAUGCUCUCAUUUGAGGUAUGCAUGAGCCGUGGGCAAGAUCCCUCCUGGCCCAUCUCUCCUCUUACUCUCUAUCCCUUCCCCAGGUCCCUGCCUCAGAGGUUUCACGGGAGCACAGCUCCUCCCUGUGGCCAAAGCAGCACUUGACCACUCACCAACCCAGUGUCAGGAUCCAGACCGGUUCCACAUCCCACAACCCUGAGCAGCAGAGAUGGGUUUGAAAGGCCAGGGGAGAAUAAAAAGGAAAGAGAUGUUGUCAACAACACAGAGAGUCAACAGCCAGAACACCAGGGGUGGUGACCAGAGAGCUCAAGUCAUCUGAAUUAGGAAUGGAUCUAAGAAGGAAAAUGAUCUCAGGAUCGUGUGAAUUGCAAGAAGAGUGAAGACUGGAAUGGCCCUAAGUUGUGUAUGCAGAGGGUGGGACUCCAGAAGGCCCAACAGAGAACAAAUUCUGGAAGGGUGAAGACAUGGGCAGGGAUGUCAGAAGAUACUCAGGGCUGGAAGGCAUUGGCAUUCAGACCAGUCAUCCAGCUGUCGCCUACUCUUGAGAAGAGUUCAAGAUGACCUUCAUCAGAAUUGGAGAGACACUUGCUGGUCACCCUUCUUGAAGAGAAGGAGUCUACAAGGCACAAGGCUGCCUC